rnacentral:tRNA from 1 species
GCAGGUAUAGCUCAGUGGUAGAGUGCAUGCUUAGCAUGCACAAGUUCCUGGGUUCAAUCCCCAGUACCUCCA